ACAGUAAGGUUCGUCCUUUUGUGAUCACAAACAAAGCAAAUGAAGUAUGCAAAUUGUUGUUGAUGUUGUAAGCAUUAUUAUCUUGUAGCACUUUUCAUAAUUAUCUAUUAAGCAUUAAGAGGCGGAUGCAAGGACUUCAUAAUUACCGUUACUGCCAUCAUCUACCCUUUAUUAGUAUUUCAAAUCUCAUUUACCAUCAUCCUCUAAAAUUAAAAAAAAAAAAAUAGAAAAAACAAAAUGGUGAUGCCUUUUAUAUUCAUUCAUUUUCUUUCUGUGUUUUUGGUACUAUAGAGAUUAUUUUUUCCAAUCAUUGAUUGCCA
rnacentral:lncRNA from 1 species